rnacentral:rRNA from 1 species
CGGGGGGGGCAAGCGUUGUUCGGAAUUACUGGGCGUAAAGGGCCCGUAGGCGGCCAACUAAGUCAGACGUGAAAUCCCUCGGCUUAACCGGGGAACUGCGUCUGAUACUGGAUGGCUUGAGUUUGGGAGAGGGAUGCGGAAUUCCAGGUGUAGCGGUGAAAUGCGUAGAUAUCUGGAGGAACACCGGUGGCGAAGGCGGCAUCCUGGACCAACACUGACGCUGAGUGAGCGAAAGCCAGGGGAGCAAACGGGAUUAGAUACCCCGGUAGUCCUGGCCCUAAACGAUGAAUGCUUGGUGUGACGGGUAUCGAUCCCUGUCGUGCCGAAGCUAACGCAUUAAGCAUUCCGCCUGGGGAGUACGGUCGCAAGGCUG